GAUGAACGCUGGCGGCGUGCUUAACACAUGCAAGUCGAACGGAAAGGCCACAGCUUGCUGUGGUACUCGAGUGGCGAACGGGUGAGUAACACGUGGGUGAUCUGCCCUGUACUUCGGGAUAAGCUUGGGAAACUGGGUCUAAUACCGGAUAKGAMYCMCWUKUGGRUGKGKKGKUGGAAAGCUUUUGCGGUAUGGGAUGAGCUCGCGGCCUAUCAGCUUGUUGGUGGGGUAAUGGCCUACCAAGGCGUCGACGGGUAGCCGGCCUGAGAGGGUGUACGGCCACAUUGGGACUGAGAUACGGCCCAGACUCCUACGGGAGGCAGCAGUGGGGAAUAUUGCACAAUGGGCGCAAGCCUGAUGCAGCGACGCCGCGUGGGGGAUGACGGCCUUCGGGUUGUAAACUCCUUUCGYCAGGGACGAAGCGWAAGUGACGGUACCUGGAUAAGAAGCACCGGCUAACUACGUGCCAGCAGCCGCGGUAAUACGUAGGGUGCGAGCGUUGUCCGGAAUUACUGGGCGUAAAGAGCUCGUAGGUGGUUUGUCGCGUCGUUUGUGUAAGUCCACGGCUUAACUGUGGGAUGGCAGGCGAUACGGGCAUAACUUGAGUGCUGUAGGGGAGACUGGAAUUCCUGGUGUAGCGGUGAAAUGCGCAGAUAUCAGGAGGAACACCGAUGGCGAAGGCAGGUCUCUGGGCAGUAACUGACGCUGAGAG
rnacentral:rRNA from 1 species